ACUUCAGCUCUCUCUCUCUACCCGAGAGCUUCUCUCUCCUCAUCCUCGCCGGAAAUCGCCGCCGCCGCCGUCGCCGCCGCACCGCCGCCGGUCGCCGCCGUCGCCGGAAUCCGGAUUUCAACCAAAAUUUCCAGAUUUUCUCCUCUUCCUUCCCUCUUUCCAUUUCUCCAACCAAAAUCAAGAAAUUUAGCCAUUUAAUCCCCCAAAAACCCUAGAACCCGAAGCUAAAAUUGGGGCUUUUUGUGAUUUCUUCUUUCCAAGCUCAAAUCAAGGCUAUGGGUUUGGCAAGGAUUUUUGGUGAAGAAGGCCAAGGAGAAGGUAUAUGACGUGAUUUUUGAAGGAGAAAUGGAAACACGAUCGUUAAGGAAGCUUAAGCGGAAAGCAUCAGAGUGUGGAGUACGCCAAUAUAUUCCAGGUUACCACGAGGUCAUUCCGGACGAUUUGGAUUAGAGGUGGGUCUUUGGCCGAGUCCGUGU